rnacentral:rRNA from 1 species
GUGGGGAAUUUUGGACAAUGGGCGCAAGCCUGAUCCAGCAAUGCCGCGUGCAGGAAGAAGGCCUUCGGGUUGUAAACUGCUUUUGUCAGGGAAGAAAUCUUCUGGGCUAAUACCCCGGGAGGAUGACGGUACCUGAAGAAUAAGCACCGGCUAACUACGUGCCAGCAGCCGCGGUAAUACGUAGGGUGCGAGCGUUAAUCGGAAUUACUGGGCGUAAAGCGUGCGCAGGCGGCUUUGCAAGACAGAUGUGAAAUCCCCGGGCUCAACCUGGGAACUGCAGUUGUGACUGCAAGGCUAGAGUACGGCAGAGGGGGAUGGAAUUCCGCGUGUAGCAGUGAAAUGCGUAGAUAUGCGGAGGAACACCAAUGGCGAAGGCAAUCCCCUGGGCCUGUACUGACGCUCAUACACGAAAGCGUGGGGAGCAAACAGGAUUAGAUACCCUAGUAGUCC